UGGGGAAUUUUGGACAAUGGGCGCAAGCCUGAUCCAGCCAUGCCGCGUGAGUGAAGAAGGCCUUCGGGUUGUAAAGCUCUUUCGGACGGGAAGAAAUGGCGGGCUCUAACAUAGCCUGUCGAUGACGGUACCGUAAGAAGAAGCACCGGCUAACUACGUGCCAGCAGCCGCGGUAAUACGUAGGGUGCGAGCGUUAAUCGGAAUUUAUGGGCGUAAGGGCGUGCAGGUGGCGUCUUAAGUCUGUUGUGAAAGCGCCUGGCUUAACCGGGCGAGGCCAAUGGAGAGUGAGAGGCGGGAGGACGGCGGAGGGGUGUGGAAUUCCGGGUGUAGUGGUGAAAUGCGUAGAGAUCCGGAGGAACACCAGAGGCGAAGGCGGCACUCUAAGCCGUACCUGACACUGAGACGCGACAGCACGGGG
rnacentral:rRNA from 1 species